rnacentral:tRNA from 2 species
UCUAAUAUGGCAGAAAAUUAUGCAAUAAACUUAAAAUUUAUAUAUAAAGAAUAAUCUUUUUUUAGAAAUU